rnacentral:rRNA from 1 species
CCUACGGGGGGCAGCAGUGGGGAAUCUUGCGCAAUGGACGAAAGUCUGACGCAGCGACGCCGCGUGAGUGAUGAAGGCCUUCGGUUGUAAAGCUCUGUGGAAAGAGUCUCGGUACCUCCUUAGCAAGCACCGGCUAACUCUGUGCCAGCAGCCGCGGUAAGACAGAGGGUGCAAACGUUGUUCGGAAUUACGGGCGUAAAGCGUGUGUAGGCGGUGAGGUAAGUCGGAUGUGAAAGCCCAGGGCUCAACCCUGGAAGUGCACUCGAUACUGCUUCGCUUGAGUACUGGAGAGGUCGGUGGAAUUCUCGGUGUAGAGGUGAAAUUCGUAGAUAUCGAGAGGAACAUCUGUGGCGAAGCGGCCGACUGGCAAUACUGACGCUGAGACACGAAAGUGUGGGGAGCAAACAGGAUUAGAUACCCUUGUAGUC